rnacentral:misc_RNA from 1 species
AGUUGCCUUAAUCUUUCCUUUUCUUUUUGUUUUCCUCUCUCCUUUCCUCUCCGUGACUCAGACGUGCCUGUGCUCAACCGCUUACCUACCCCGCGCGCGCCACGCAAUCACCGCAUCCACGAGGAGGCAAAUAUUGGGAUUGCCGACACGCCCGCAUUAGCACCGGUGCACACCCCAACGCAAGCGUCACGCUCCCUCUUUGCCUUUGCCCUCACCUUCCCUAAUCCAUUCAACUCCGCCGCUCCUUCGCGCAGCGUGUGUGUCAUUGUAUGCCUGUCUGUCUUUCCACUCGCUGAACUUGCUUGUGCUUGUUCCUUCCUUGCUCGGUUGCUGCAGGAGCUGUGUGCGUGCGUGCCCAUCGGCAGAGACGGGUUCUCUCUUCGUUGUCACCCCUCCACCCCCAUCUUCUUCUUCCCCACCUUCUCUCUCUGUCUACGACCCGCGCCUGCACCGCCGUAGCGUGUUGCUGUAGCUUCCGACCGGCUCGUCCUUUGCGAGCCUUUCUUGUGCCCGAUCGACCUCCUUCCCCUUCGCUUCUUGUUUGUUUCGGGGUCUUUGUUGGGCCCUCGUCGCCGAUAUCUCCACCUCCUCUCUCUCUCCGCGUUGUCAUCAUUUAGCGUUGCACUUCUUGUCCCUCUCACAGAAACACACACACACACACACAUACGCAGGUGAACUCCAUCCGUGAAGGGACGCGCGUUGAGUGCCUCUCUGAGCAUCCUCGAGGGUGUCUCUACUUUCUCUUCUUUCUUUUCCCUCUUCCCCACACCCAGACGAACACCUCCCUGCCGAUUUCGUCCCUGUCGCGCCGUUCUGUGUUGCCCUUGCGUGCUUCGAUUCUCCGCGGUCUAUCUGCUCGGCGUGUCUCUGCCCAGCACCGACUGUGCUCUUCCCUUCCUCUUGUUUCUCUCUCUGCCUCCGUCACGCGCUUUUCUGCGUGCCGUCCGCCUAUAACACAG